GCACCUGUAGCUUAAUUGGAUAGAGCGUCAGCCUCCGGAGCUGAAGAUUAUGGGUUCAACUCCCAUCAGGUGCG
rnacentral:tRNA from 1 species